rnacentral:miRNA from 1 species
UGGGGGUGGGGGUGGGGGAGGGGGCUACUUUUGAUCUCUCAAAGUUUGGGGAUAAAAUAAGAACCAAACCAACCCCCCCCCCCCCCCCCCCCCCCCACAAAAAAAA